rnacentral:rRNA from 1 species
UACGUAGGGGGCAAGCGUUGUCCGGAUUCAUUGGGCGUAAAGAGCUCGUAGGCGGCUUGGCAAGUCGGGUGUGAAAACUUCAGGCUCAACCUGGAGCGGCCACUCGAUACUGCCAUGGCUAGAGUCCGGUAGGGGAGUGCGGAAUUCCUGGUGUAGCGGUGAAAUGCGCAGAUAUCAGGAGGAACACCGGUGGCGAAGGCGGCACUCUGGGCCGGAACUGACGCUGAGGAGCGAAAGCGUGGGGGCAAACGGGAUUAGAACCGUACGGU